rnacentral:rRNA from 1 species
GGGGAAUAUUGCGCAAUGGGGGCAACCCUGACGCAGCAACGCCGUGUGAGCGAGGAAGGCCUUCGGGUCGUAAAGCUCUGUCAUAGGGGACGAAGUCUUAAGGGAGAAAAACCUUAAGGUGACGGUACCCUAGGAGGAAGCCCCGGCUAACUACGUGCCAGCAGCCGCGGUAACACGUAGGGGGCGAGCGUUGUCCGGAAUUACUGGGCGUAAAGGGCGUGUAGGCGGCACCGCAAGUCAGGUGUGAAACCCCUAGGCUUAACCUGGGGCUUGCAUUUGAAACUGCGAUGCUUGAGGGCAGGAGAGGCAAGUGGAAUUCCUAGUGUAGCGGUGAAAUGCGUAGAUAUUAGGAAGAACACCAGUGGCGAAGGCGACUUGCUGGACUGGCCCUGACGCUGAGGCGCGAAAGCGUGGGUAGCGAAC